rnacentral:rRNA from 1 species
CAGAGGGAAGCGAGCCCGCGAGGGGGAGCGAAUCCCAAAAACAAACGUCCCAGUUCGGAUUGUAGUCUGCAACUCGACUACAUGAAGCUGGAAUCGCUAGUAAUCGCGGAUCAGAAUGCCGCGGUGAAUACGUUCCCGGGUCUUGUACACACCGCCCGUCACACCAUGGGAGUCGGGAAUGCCCGAAGCCAGUGACCCAAGCGAGAGGAGGGAGCUGCCGAAGGCGGGACAGGUAACUGGGGUGAAGUCGUAACAAGGUACC